rnacentral:rRNA from 1 species
AUUGAACGCUGGCGGCAGGCCUAACACAUGCAAGUCGAACGAGUGGCGGACGGGUGAGUAAUGUCUGGGAAACUGCCUGCUGGAGGGGGAUAACUACUGGAAACGGUAGCUACUACCGCAUACCAUCAGAUGUUCCCAGAUGGGAUUAGCUAGUUGUUGGGGUACCGGCUCACCAAGUCGACGAUCCCGAGCUGGUCUGAUAGGCUGACAAGCCACACUGGAACUGCGACACGGUGCAGACUCCUACGGUAGGCAGCAAUGGGGAAUAUUGCACACGGGGCGCAAGCAUGAUGAAGCCAUGCCGCGUGUAUGAAGAAGGCCUUCGGGUUGUAAAGUACUUGCAGCGGGGAGGCGUUACCCGCAGAAGAAGCACCGGCUAACUCCGUGCCAGCAGCCGCGGUAAUUC